rnacentral:rRNA from 1 species
UAGGGAAUAUUGGUCAAUGGGCGAGAGCCUGAACCAGCCAUGCCGCGUGCAGGAAGACGGCCUUCUGGGUUGUAAACUGCUUUUAUCAAGGAACAAAAAGCUCCUGCGGGAGAAAUUGCGUGUACUUGAUGAAUAAGCACCGGCUAACUCCGUGCCAGCAGCCGCGGUAAUACGGAGGGUGCAAGCGUUGUCCGGAUUUAUUGGGUUUAAAGGGUGCGUAGGCGGUUAUUUAAGUCAGUGGUGAAAUCCUUCAGCUUAACUGGAGAACUGCCAUUGAAACUGGAUAACUUGAGUACAGACGAGGUAGGCGGAAUUUAUGGUGUAGCGGUGAAAUGCAUAGAUACCAUAAAGAACACCGAUAGCGAAGGCAGCUUACUAGACUGUAACUGACGCUGAUGCACGAAAGCGUGGGGAGCGAACAGGAUUAGAUACCCCCGUAGUCC